GGGCGCAUAGCUCAGCUGGUCAGAGCGCACGGUUCACAUCCGUGAGGUCGUUGGUUCAAGUCCAAUUGCGCCCA
rnacentral:tRNA from 1 species